UUGGUGUGAAUUGCAGAAUCCCGUGAACCAUCAAGUCUUUGAACGCAAGUUGCGCCCGAGGCCUCUCGGUUGCGGGCACGCCUGCCUGGGCGUCACAC
rnacentral:rRNA from 1 species